rnacentral:rRNA from 1 species
AUACGGAGGAUCCGAGCGUUAUCCGGAUUUAUUGGGUUUAAAGGGAGCGUAGGUGGACAUGUAAGUCAGUUGUGAAAGUUUGCGGCUCAACCGUAAAAUUGCAGUUGAUACUGUGUGUCUUGAGUACAGUAGAGGAGGGCGGAAUUCGUGGUGUAGCGGUGAAAUGCUUAGAUAUCACGAAGAACUCCGAUUGCGAAGGCAGCUCACUGGACUGUUACUGACACUGAGGCUCGAAAGUGUGGGUAUCAAACAGGAUUAGAUACCCCGGUAGUCCACACAGUAAACGAUGAAUACUCGCUGUUUGCGAUAUACAGCAAGCGGCCAAGCGAAAGCAUUAAGUAUUCCACCUGGGGAGUACGCCGGCAACGGUGAAACUCAAAUGAAUUGACGGGG